rnacentral:misc_RNA from 1 species
UUUCUAUCUUCAUAAUAGAGGUUUUUAUAGUACGAAAGGACCUAAAAACUUAAUUUUAUUAAUUAAUUAGCUUAUAAAAAGCAAGUAUUUUGAAAAUACUAGAAAGAUUUAAGAAUUUAUUAAUUUUAUGU